GAUGAACGCUGGCGGCGUGCCUAAUACAUGCAAGUCGAGCGAACAGACGAGGAGCUUGCUCCUCUGACGUUAGCGGCGGACGGGUGAGUAACACGUGGAUAACCUACCUAUAAGACUGGGAUAACUUCGGGAAACCGGAGCUAAUACCGGAGAAUAUAUUGAACCGCAUGGUUCAAUAGUGAAAGACGGUUUUGCUGUCACUUAUAGAUGGAUCCGCGCCGCAUUAGCUAGUUGGUAAGGUAACGGCUUAUCAAGGCAACGAUGCGUAGCCGACCUGAGAGGGUGAUCGGCCACACUGGAACUGAGACACGGUCCAGACUCCUACGGGAGGCAGCAGUAGGGAAUCCUCCGCAAUGGGCGAAAGCCUGACGGAGCAACGCCGCGUGAGUGAUGAAGGUCUUCGGAUCGUAAAACUCUGUUAUUAGGGAAGAACAAAUGUGUAAGUAACUAUGCACGUCUUGACGGUACCUAAUCAGAAAGCCACGGCUAACUACGUG
rnacentral:rRNA from 1 species